rnacentral:ncRNA from 1 species
UCCAAAUUUGAUUAAUUUAAACUUAAUAAAGUUUGACUAUUCUUUUUUAUUAAGGUGGUAAUAUGAUUAAUUGAAUAACUAUUAAUUUUAUUAUUAUUCAGUAAUUAGUAUUAAUUUUAAAUAUUAUUAUUGAUUUAGAUAUUUAAUUAGGUUAGUUUAAAUUUGUGCCAGCAUUCGCGGUUAGACAUUUCUUUCAAGUAAUUUAAAUUUUUAAUAAAUUAUAUUUUUUACAUGAUUUUACUAAUUUUUAAUUUAAGUGAAAUUUAUUUUAAAUUUUUAUCUUUUAUUAAUUUUAUAAAUUAUUAUUAUAAACUAGGAUUAGAUACCCUAUUAUUAAUAAAUUUACAUUAAUUUUAAUAUUAGUAGUUAAGAUCUUUAAAAUUUGAAGAAUUUGGCGGUUAUUUAUUUUAUUAGAGGAACCUGUUACAUAAUUGAUAAACCACAAUAAUUCCUACUUAAAAUUUAUUUGUAUACCGCUAUAUAGAAUAUUUUAAUAAAAAAUUUUCUUUUUUAAUGAGUAAUAAAAUUUAGGUCAAGGUGCAGUUUUUAUUAAGUAAUAAUGGGUUACUAUAAUUAUAAAUUUUAUGGAUUUUAUAAUUAUUUUAUAAAUAAAAAAGGAUUUAAUAGUAAUUUUAAUUAAUUAAUUAUUUUGAAUAAAUUCUAAAUAAUGUACUUAUCGCCCGUCGCUCUCAUUAUUAAUUGAGAUAAGUCGUAACAAAGUAACCUUACCGGAAGGUAAGGUUAGAAGGUG